rnacentral:rRNA from 1 species
CCAAUAGCGUAUAUUAAAGUUGUUGCAGUUAAAAAGCUCGUAGUUGAAUUUCGGGAUCAUCAGGUCGGUCGUGCCUCCGGUAUGUACUGGUCUCGGUGGUUCCUCCUUCUUGUAGAACCGUAAUGCCAUUAAUUUGGUGUUGCGGGAAAACAGGACUGUUACUUUGAAAAAAUUAGAGUGUUUAAAGCAGGCGAUCGCUUGAAUACAUUAGCAUGGAAUAAUGAAAUAGGACGUUCGAUCCUAUUUUGUUGGUUUCUAGGAUUGACGUAAUGAUUAAUAGGGAUAGUUGGGGGCAUUAGUAUUCAAUUGUCAGAGGUGAAAUUCUUGGAUUUAUUGAAGACUAACUACUGCGAAAGCAUUUGCCAAGGAUGUUUUCAUUAAUCAAGAACGAAAGUUAGGGGCUCGAAGACGAUCAGAUACCGUCCUAGUCUCAACCAUAAACGAUGCCGACCAGGGAUCGGCGGAUGUUGCUUUUAGGACUCCGCCGGCACCUUAUG